CUUGGGAAUAGUUUUAUUGCAAUGUUGAUGGAACCUCAUUCUUUCAAUUUCCUCCAUCCAUAAACUUUCUCAUAAAAUAUCUCUAUGUAGAAGUGCCAUGAUUUCAAAGACAGUCAGUCACCAGUAAAAACAGCCACCAUAGUGAACAACACACCAACUCUUCCUCCUGUAUCAUACAAUCCAAUACAUUUAUUGACUUAAACAACUGACACUUGUAACUUAUCAAAGCUUAAUUUGCAUUUUUAACUAGCUUUUUUGUCCAUUCUUGUAGCUUGAUCAUUAACAAAGGAAAUAAUGUAUGUCACACUCUUUGUUACCUGGAGAAUGGAGCUGGCGCAUGGACACGGAAACACAAGUCAGUUCAUAGUGCAGUCCAGACAGACAGCAAACCAAGUCAGUUCAUAGUGCAGUCCAGACAGACAGCAAACCAAGUCAGUUCAUAGUGCAGUCCAGACAGACAGCAAACCAAGUCAGUUCAUAGUGCAGUCCAGAAAGCAACUCCUAACACAUUUUGAAAUCAGAUGUAAUUUGUGAAAAGAAACAACUUCCACAGAGCAAUGUCUUGAAAGUAUACUUAUUCUCAAAUGUCUUUGAGGACAUUGUUAAAUAGCAUAUUCCUAUAAAAUCGUAUUCAUUUGCCAUUCUUUAUAUUCAAACCAACUUUUUAGUGUAGUAAUGUUUUUUAUGCUGGCUCGACCAACAUUAAACUGACCAAUGAGGUAGGCUAAGUAGUUUCACUUCCUGGUUGACACCUGUCAUGUGAUGUCACCUAAUUCAGGGUCAUAUUCAUUAGGGCACACCAUAGUGAAACGUUACAAAACAUUAACAGAAAUUGAAAACAAGUCCAGGUAGUCCCUUCACGUUUCAGUAUUUUCUCCCAUUUGGUGUCUAAUGAACACGACCCAGGAGACUCACUGGCGUUCAAAAGGUCUUUUGAGGGCUGAUGUGGUGGCAUUUCUCUCCAAAUGAAAUCCCACAAACAUGCUUUAACAAUUCACAGUCAUGACUCAACUCCAACGUUGUUAUAAAACAGUGCUCUGUACAAACAUAUUACAGUUAAGGCAUAAGGUUUUUCAAAAGCUUUGACGAGAGAUGUUCUAGUCGGUGUAUUUUAUACUCUCCCAGAAAACACAUCUCUUCACAUGUCAUCAAGGUUUUGUAACAACGCCACUAUUUCUCAUUCUGUGAAUGGAAAAGACGUCAAAAUGAUACAGGAGAGAGACACACCGGUUGUGCGUUGGUAUAAUUAGGGGCAAAGUGAAGAAUGCAGAGGAGACAGCUCAGUUAGCUGCCUGCCACAUUCAAUACAUCAGAAACGUAGAAAUAAAAUGAACAGAAUGGGUCGACCUCGUUAAAAUCGUUAACACAUAUACAGUAUUGCUGACAGUCGAGUCAGGUCCUAACGCAGCAUACUGCACAGUACCAACACAAAAUCCAUAUCUAGUUUGGUCAUCAACGUCUUACGAAAUACUUACAUGUGCCCAUUCUAAUCAUUGUAUUUCUAUGCCUUAUCUUUUCCUCCUCCAGCUAAAACUCUAUACUAGCUCACUCUCUCAUCUGUCCCAUGGCAUUUAGUCCACUGCACACACUUUGAUUUGUAGCGCUCUAGCAUUAGCAUUCUUCCAGCAUCACCACAGACUACUCAUUGGCUGCAUUUAGACAGGCAGACAAAUUCUGAUAUUUUUCACUAAUUUGUCUUUUGACCAGAUUAGCUCUGAAAAAGAUCUGAUUGGUCCAAAGAGCAAUUAGUAAAAAACAGAUCAGAAUUGGGCUGCCUGUCUAAAUGCAGCCCAAGUCCAAUCUGCACUACACACUCUCUUCC
rnacentral:lncRNA from 1 species